AGUUGUUAAAUUACGAGUCUAGUUUGUUUAGCCAAAGAAAAGUCAGGAACCUUCCUGCUAACUGCGAUAAUGAGUGGGCUGGACAAUGCCGAGAGAUGAGUUUCAGAUUGUUCUGCGUUGUAGCAUCUUGUGACUGACUAUAAAAUGAGAUGCUCUUUAUGCGUACACAAUCCUUUCGGCUUUUUUUAAAGAUAUAACGUUGAUCAUGGAGAACUGCAAAUAUGUUGCACUAACAACAAAGGAUAGAGGGAAAAAGUUGUGAUGGACUACUUUCUGGAGGAUGAUCAUGUCAUGCUGACAUUGUAGUCUUCUGAUGACAGUGAUGGAUGGGGAAGAAACGGCGAUCAACCAUCAAAAGGACACACCUAACAAUCCUCCACCAGUCAAACAAAGAGAAUGGUCUAAUGCCUCCCAUCAAAAAGAGAGCUGGCCCAACCAAGCACAGGUUACACCUGAAGCAUGAGGACUUGUAGCAAGUGGUGAACUUCAUCAACAACUACUUGGAGGAUAAUGCAAUAGUAUUACCUGGACACCACUCAGGACACAAACACUUUGGUGGAAAUCUGCUGCCAUCCCAUAUGACAAAAGCAGCAGUGUGGCGUCUCUACAAGGAAUCAAUGUCAACACUUCCGCUUUGAUUAUUUAAUUAACCUGUAACAUGAUUGGCUGUACUUUUAUUGACAUCACAUUAUUUCUGUCUUUGGGGGCCCCUAACUGAACCAGCCACAGUCUGGACCUUCAUUUCCUGAUCAUAGGCCACACCAAGUUUGCCCCCGACAGGUGCUUCGGCCUCAUCAAGCAGCGCUUCAGAAAGACCAGAGUGAACACUUUGUCUGAGAUUGCUGGUGUUGUGAAGGACAGCACCGUGACAGGGGUCAACAUCGCACAGCUGGUUGGACUGGAAAAUGAUACAGUGCUGGUGGAAAGCUUUGGCUGGCAACAACACCUGACUCUGUACCACAGAUCAAGCAGUACCAGCAUUUCAGCUUCGAUGCUCUGGAGCCGUGUGUUUUUGUAGCUAAGGAGCGUUCGGACUGUCGGGACCUGGUUUCAGCUGCUGCGCAACGCUGACAUCCUUCCUCCCAUAGAUGGUCUGCCUGUACAACACCACCUGGACUGGACACUUUUUAGAAGAUCAGGGAGUUUUGCAACGAGGAGGCUAUGGACAUCACAUGCCCUGCACCAACGUCAAGGGCAGGACAGAAACAGGCUCUCCGAAUAUAUUGUUCAUGCGUGGUUCUGACAGACCAGUCAUCAGCACUAUCCGCAGUGCCUCUAUUCAAAUGACACUCCUGCUACUAUUUUUAUUUUUUAUCCUACUGCCCAGCCACUUUACCCCUGAUUGUAUGCAUACAACUACCUCGUCUAUCACUGAUAUCGUUGUUGAUAUUGUUCUUGUACAUACUGUAAAUUAUUUUGACACUAUUUCUGAUAUUGUUACUAUGCCAGUAACCAUUUGGCUGUACCGUUUACACCUUCUGUAGAGACCCAUCCACUUAGCAAUACUUAUCAAUAUUCAUUUUAUAUAUCAAUAUUUUGCUAUGUGUGGUUGUAACAUGAUUUUGUAACAUACCACAACAAUAUCAUGUGACCGUAUCAACAUCACUCAGGUUUCAAUUCAGGUUGCAUGGCCUUAACUUAUGUAUGGAAUACUAUGUGAUACUACUGGGUUGAUUAUACUACUACGUUUGUGUGUGUAACAGUAUAUAAAGUAUGCUAAUGCACUGGUGUGAAGGCAGUGGUGUAAAGUACUUAAGUAAAAAUACUUUAAAGUACUACAAGUAUUUCUUUACUAUUUAUAUUUUUUGGGAACUUUUAUUUCACUACAUUAUUUUCUGUCUUAAUGUACUUUUUACUCCAUACAUGUUCCUUACAUUUUGACAGGAAAGUUGUCCAAUUCACACACUUAUCAAGAGAAAAUCCCUGGUCAUCCCUACUGCAUCUGAUCUGGCAGACUCACUAAACACAAACGCUUCGUUUGUAAAUUAUGUCUGAGUAUUGGAGUGCGCCCCUGGCUAUCCGUCAAUAAUAAUGAAAAAAAUAAACUUGUGCCGUAUGGUUUAAUAUAAGGAAUUCCACCAUUGGAUGUGGCUUGGGGUUAUAGCAUUUCUUUCACAUGACGCAUCAAUUUAAACCAGUGUGUCUGGGAA